UACGGGGGGAGCAAGCGUUGUUCGGAUUUACUGGGCGUAAAGGGCGCGUAGGCGGCCACUGCAAGUCGGGUUGUGAAAUCUCCGGGCUUAACCCGGAAAGGUCAAUCGAUACUGCAGGGCUAGAGUGCAGAAGGGGCAACUGGAAUUCUCGGUGUAGCGGUGAAAUGCGUAGAUAUCGAGAGGAACACCUGCGGCGAAGGCGGGUUGCUGGGCUGACACUGACGCUGAAGCGCGAAAGCUAGGGGAGCGAACGGG
rnacentral:rRNA from 1 species